rnacentral:rRNA from 1 species
CCUACGGGUGGCUGCAGUGGGGGAUAUUGCACAAUGGGGGGAACCCUGAUGCAGCGACGCCGCGUGGGUGAAGGAGCGUUUCGGCGCGUAAAGCCCUAUCGGCAGGGAAGAAGAUGACGGUACCUGGCCAAGAAGCCCCGGCUAACUACGUGCCAGCAGCCGCGGUAAUACGUAGGGGGCAAGCGUUAUCCGGAUUUACUGGGUUUAAAGGGUGCGCAGGCGGUCUGUUAAGGCAGCGGUCAAAGCCCGGGGCUCAACCCCGGCCCGCCGUUGAAACUGGCAGUAUCGAGUUGGAGAGAAGUAUGCGGAAUGCGCGGUGUAGCGGUGAAAUGCAUAGAUAUCGCGCAGAACUCCGAUUGCGAAGGCAGCAUGCCGGCUCCACACUGACGCUGAGGCACGAAAGCGUGGGUAUCGAACAGGAUUAGAUACCCUUGUAGUC